rfam:Dictyocaulus viviparus strain HannoverDv2000 D_viviparus-1.0_Cont38.1, whole genome shotgun sequence.
GAAGAGGUGGUCGAGUAGUUAAGGCGAUGGACAGCUAAUCCAUUGGGGUUUCCCCGCGUGAGUUCGAAUCUCAUCCUGAUCG